UAUUAUAGUGUAUUCUGUAUUAUUGUUGCAAUAAAUACAAUGUUUCUUUUAUUUACGAUAUUUUUUCUUCAAUUUAUUUGUGUCCUCCUUUUUGUUGUAAAAAAGUUGGUCACCUUACCAUUACCCCAAAAUAAAAACUGAAUCUAAUCUAUGACCUGCCCUGAGGAUUGGCCUGCAAUAAGCUGAGUCAAAUCCCAGAUGGUCACAAACUCCUGCACUGCCUCUAAGUCUGUCCCCAAGGACAGCAGAUUAAAGUCCUGGGGGACUUCAUUACAAAUCCAGAGGUGGCACUGAGCAGAGCAGGCAGGGAGGCUGCCAAGUAGCAGGGAGGUGAGUAAAGUAGCAGAACUCUCUAUUGAUUCUUAAGACCCAAUCUCACAAUUAUGACUCAAGCACAGUUGUUUGCAGGUCAGCUCCUACAGAUCUUAAGAAAACGAUAGGAAUCUCCUACUCUGGCUUAGAGUUGCAGUUUGAUACCCCCUGUUCAUGUUUCAAAGUAAGCCACUGCUACUUUUGCCCAGCUAGGUCUUGACAAUAUAUGCCAGCCAUCUUAUCCAGGGUCAGAUAAGCAAUAGCAUUCUCUCAGCAAUUUAUAAAUGUCAGCAUAUUGCCCCAACAGUCUAGGUCCUUAUUUUACCAAUCUCAGAAGGAUGGAAGGCUGAGCCAACCUUGAGCCGGUCAGGAUUGAAUUCCUGGCUAUGGGCAGAGGUAGCUGCAAUACUGCUUUCUAACCAUUGUGCCACCAGGGCUCCUGAUCCCAGAUCUCAUGAGGAGCAUUAUUAGAGGCUAACCUGACAUUCAAAACACCUUGCUUGCAUAAGGUUCAGUAACCAAUAGUUGAAGAUGGAGGCAAAGGGUUGGAAUGAGAAAUUGAUACAAGACAUUGCUCCCACGCUUCCAUAGCCUGUCAGCAUCACAGUUUUCUCCCCUGAAUAUAACCCCUGACUAAUAUCUCACCAUCACCUCUCACUCCCUUUCCCCAGUCAUUAAAGGUCCCGUUCACACUUCAGUCUUAAACCCCCUUCCUCCAAGUUGGUAGGAUAGCAUCAGAUGAGACACGUAGUACCUGUGAGCCAAUCCCCUCUAAAAAAAUCCAACCCAUUCUCACCAGAGGUGGAGGGCAAAAAAGCACACAAUCUUGUCAAACUAAUGCAAGCCUCUAUUCCCCAUUCUGUCUCCUACCUGAGGUAUGUUGGGGGAGGGGGGAUAGAGGGCUCAAGCCCCAGUCAUUCCUCAACCAUGCUAUCUCAUAACUUGCCUCCAGCCACUCAGCAUCCUUCUUCCAACUUCUAGGCAGCUGCACUGGAUCAACCAGGCAAAGGAUGAGCUUUCACAAAGACCACCAGCCAACUCCUUCUCCUGAUGUUGUCUGAUACUGUCACCAGGCUUUAUCCUCAGUCUUUCAUAUAGUCAGGGGCCAGCUGAGACCAUACAUCUUGCUCAACCACCAGACAAACUUGGGAGCAGAUCACACCAAGCUGGGCACUGAGACCAGAAUACAGCCUCAGGUUUGUUCCAGUAGCACAAGAAGCUGUGGCUUUGGCAAAUGGCCAGAAAGCAAAAGUCAUCGGAAAAGGCUGCUUCAUAUUUCAUGGACAGUCAAGAGAAUCAAAGUUCAACACUAGAGGACAUCAAGCCAGAAUUCCAACUGGAAACAAGGAUCAUGAAACAAAAACUGGCUGAGAGGAUCCACUAUUUCACAGCUGAUUCAUGGUGACAUAAUAACAAUUGUAUGUGAGACUGCUAUUUGAUGUCACGAAAUUUUUUGUGUAAAGCAUUUGUAAUAAAGAUGGCCAAAUACUUUGAAUUGAAAUAUUCAAAUAUAAUUAAAUAAUCAAAAAUAAAAUCAUACAUCUUAAACUAAAAUUUAAUUUUUUUAUGAAUUCACCAAAUAGACAACGUGGAAUAGUAAGACAAAUCACUUUAUUAAAAUACCUAUAGUGUAAACAAAUUUUAUUUUAGGGACUAUAAAAUGUUAUUAGAUUUUUCUUCUCUCUUAUGUUAAGAUUUAAAUAAACAUUUGGUUAUUUAUUUUUGUCCACUUUUUUAAGUAACAUAAAUCCAACAAUCUGUUAGUUUUCAGUAUGUAAAAUAUUGUUGUGGUUUAGAAGCAAUGUUGGAUAAAAAUAAUUAAGGAAGUUUAUUAUCAAAUUGAGAUGUACUUAUUAUUACACAUGAAACACAUAGCAUGCACUGACACAGUCAUCUGCAGGGGCUACAUAAAAUACCUGCACUGCAGUCCAUGUCAACUUAAUAAAACAGAACAAAUUGAAUAUAAACUUGAACUUGUCCUCACAAAGCCAAGGAACUGGUUAUAUCCCAUAAAAAUUUGGACAAUCAAGCUUAAAAAAAUAUCUUACAAUGAUUGCUGAUCCACUGAUUAACUAACUAGAUCCACUGAAUUCUAUAGGGACAUCCAUUGUUACAGCGUAGUAAAUUAGGAACAGAUUAAAUUCAGGAAAAGGAAACUUCUCCUUACAGUUAAUAGAUCAGGAAAUGUCUGCUAUGUUGUCCAGUGAGUUAUGUUUUUAUUGUACAGAUACUCUUGAUUUUUAUCAGUAAAAUUUUGUGUAGUCAUCAA